rnacentral:rRNA from 1 species
AGCGAACGUUAGCGGCGGGCCUAACACAUGCAAGUCGAGCGAGAAAGUGGCUUCGGCCAUCAGUAAAGCGGCGGACGGGUGAGUAACACGUAGGUAAUCUUCCCUUGAGCGGGGGACAACGAGCCGAAAGGCUCGCUAAUACCGCAUACGUUUCCAGAGGCCCCGGCCUUUGGAAGGAAAGCCAGGCAACAAUGUCCGGCACUCCAGGAGGAGCCUGCGUCGCAUCAGCUAGUUGGUGGGGUAACGGCCUACCAAGGCGAAGACGCGUAGCUGGUCUGAGAGGAUGAUCAGCCACACUGGGACUGAGGCACGGCCCAGACUCCUACGGGAGGCAGCAGUGGGGAAUAUUGGACAAUGGGCGCAAGCCUGAUCCAGCCACGCCGCGUGAGUGAUGAAGGCCUUCGGGUCGUAAAGCUCUGUGGGGAGGGACGAACCGCUGCAGGUUCAUAGCCUGCAGCAUGACGGUACCUCCUUAGCAAGCACCGGCUAACUUCGUGCCAGCCGCCGCAGUAACAC